rnacentral:tRNA from 1 species
GAUUUUGUAUUCUAAAUAGGAUUUUAAAUUGCAAAUUUAAAGGUAUAAUUAAUUAAAAUCU